CCUACGGGCGGCUGCAGUGGGGAAUAUUGGACAAUGGGCGAAAGCCUGAUCCAGCCAUGCCGCGUGUGUGAAGAAGGCCUUCGGGUUGUAAAGCACUUUCAGUGGGGAAGAAAGCCUUGGGGCUAAUACCCUCGAGGAAGGACAUCACCCACAGAAGAAGCACCGGCUAACUCCGUGCCAGCAGCCGCGGUAAUACGGAGGGUGCGAGCGUUAAUCGGAAUUACUGGGCGUAAAGCGCGCGUAGGCGGUCUGAUAAGCCGGUUGUGAAAGCCCCGGGCUCAACCUGGGAACGGCAUCCGGAACUGUCAGGCUAGAGUGCAGGAGAGGAAGGUAGAAUUCCCGGUGUAGCGGUGAAAGGCGUAGAGAUCGGGAGGAAUACCAGUGGCGAGGGCGGCCUUCUGGACUGACACUGAAGCUGAGGUGCGAAAGCGUGGGUAGCAAACAGGAUUAGAUAACCUGGUAGUC
rnacentral:rRNA from 1 species